rnacentral:rRNA from 1 species
CCUACGGGCGGCAGCAGUGGGGAAUAUUGGGCAAUGGGCGCAAGCCUGACCCAGCCAAGUAGCGUGAAGGAUGAAUGCCCUACGGUUUUUAAACUUCUUUUAUAGAGAAGUAGAGUGAGACACGUGUUCCUUUUUGUGUGUCCUUUAUGUAUGAGUCUCGGCUAACUCCGUGCCAGCAGCCGCGGUCAUACGGAGGAUCCACGGGUUGUACGGAUUUAUUGGGUUUAAAGGGAGGGUAGAUGGGGCGGUAAGUCAGUUGUGAAAGUCUGCGGCUCAACCGUAAAAUUGCAAUUGAUACUGGCAGUCUUGAGUACAGUUGAGGCAGGCGGAAUUCGUGGUGUAGCGGUGAAAUGCGUAGAUAUUACGAAGAACGCCGAUUGCGAAGGCAGUCUACUAAACUGCAACUGACAUUGAUGCUCGAAAGCGUGGGUAUCAAACAGGAUUAGAUACCCGUGUAGUC